rnacentral:rRNA from 1 species
UACGUAGGGUGCAAGCGUUGUCCGGAAUUAUUGGGCGUAAAGAGCUCGUAGGCGGUUUGUCGCGUCGGCUGUGAAAACCCGGGGCUCAACCCCGGGCCUGCAGUCGAUACGGGCAAACUAGAGUGCGGUAGGGGAGACGUGGAAUUCCUGGUGUAGCGGUGAAAUGCGCAGAUAUCAGGAGGAACACCGAUUGCGAAGGCAGCUGACGAAACUGUAAACUGACGCUGAGGCUCGAAAGCGUGGGGAUCAAACAGGA